AGGAUGAACGCUGGCGGCGUGCCUAAUACAUGCAAGUCGAGCGGUAAGGCUCCUACUCUGUGUUCAACGAGUUUGAAUGUAGUGUUGGAGUACACGAGCGGCGGACGGCUGAGUAACACGUAGGAACGUACCCCAAAGUGAGGCAUAAGCACCAGAAAUGGUGUCUAAUACCGCAUGUGGUCUUCGGAUUAAAGCUUCGGCGCUUUGGGAACGGCCUGCGCAUGAUUAGCUUGUUGGUGAGGUAAUAGCUCACCAAGGCGACGAUCAUUAGCUGGUCUGAGAGGAUGAUCAGCCAGACUGGGACUGAGAACGGCCCAGACUCCUACGGGAGCAGCAGUAGGGAAUUUUCCACAAUGGGCGAAAGCCUGAUGGAGCAACGCCGCGUGCAGGAUGAAGGCCCUCGGGUCGUAAACUGUCUUUUAUAUGUGACGAUUAUGACGGUAGCAUAUGAAUAAGGAUCGGCUACGUCCGUG
rnacentral:rRNA from 1 species